UACGUAGGGUGCAAGCGUUGUCCGGAAUUAUUGGGCGUAAAGAGCUCGUAGGCGGUCUGUCGCGUCGGAUGUGAAAAUCCAGGGCUCAACCCUGGACCUGCAUUCGAUACGGGCAGACUAGAGUUCGGCAGGGGAGACUGGAAUUCCUGGUGUAGCGGUGAAAUGCGCAGAUAUCAGGAGGAACACCGGUGGCGAAGGCGGGUCUCUGGGCCGAUACUGACGCUGAGGCGCGAAAGCGUGGGGAGCAAACAGG
rnacentral:rRNA from 1 species